rnacentral:rRNA from 1 species
CAUGGCAUUGUAUUGAAAGUUACGGCGGCGACGGAUUGGCUCGCGUCCGAUUAGCUGGUUGGCGGGGUAACGGCCCACCAAGGCUACGAUCGGUAGGGGUUCUGAGAGGAAGGCCCCCCACAAUGGGACUGAGACACGGCCCAUACUCCUACGGGAGGCAGCAGUGAGGAAUAUUGGUCAAUGGGCGGAAGCCUGAACCAGCCAUGCCGCGUGCGGGAAGGAGGCCCUAUGGGCUGUGAACCGCUUUUGCCUGGGGGCAAUAAGGGCGUCGCGCACGUCCGAUGAGAGUACCAGGCGAAUAAGCAUCGGCUAACUCCGUGCCAGCAGCCGCGGUAAUACGGGGGAUGCGAGCGUUAUCCGGAUUCAUUGGGUUUAAAGGGUGCGUAGGCUGUGCGUCAAGUCGGGGGUGAAAUUCCGGUGCUCAACACCGGGGCUGCCCUUGAUACUGUCGCGCUGGAGUGCGGAUGCCGCCGGAGGAAUGAGUGGUGUAGCGGUGAAAUGCUUAGAUAUCACUCAGAACACCGAUUGCGAAGGCAUCUGGCGAAUCCGUAACUGACGCUGAGGCACGAAAGCGUGGGGAUAGAACAGGAUUAGAUACCCUGGUAUUCCACGCCGUAAACGAAGAUGGCUAACCGCCGGCGACACACUGUCGGUGGCCAAG